rnacentral:rRNA from 1 species
GACGAACGCUGGCGGCAGGCUUAACACAUGCAAGUCGAGCGGAGAUGAGGUGCUUGCACCUUAUCUUAGCGGCGGACGGGUGAGUAAUGCUUAGGAAUCUGCCUAUUAGUGGGGGACAACAUUCCGAAAGGAAUGCUAAUACCGCAUACGCCCUACGGGGGAAAGCAGGGGAUCUUCGGACCUUGCGCUAAUAGAUGAGCCUAAGUCGGAUUAGCUAGUUGGUGGGGUAAAGGCCUACCAAGGCGACGAUCUGUAGCGGGUCUGAGAGGAUGAUCCGCCACACUGGGACUGAGACACGGCCCAGACUCCUACGGGAGGCAGCAGUGGGGAAUAUUGGACAAUGGGCGGAAGCCUGAUCCAGCCAUGCCGCGUGUGUGAAGAAGGCCUUUUGGUUGUAAAGCACUUUAAGCGAGGAGGAGGCUACCUGGAUUAAUACUCUAGGAUAGUGGACGUUACUCGCAGAAUAAGCACCGGCUAACUCUGUGCCAGCAGCCGCCGCCG